AAAAUUGUUGCAGUUAAAACGUUCGUAGUUGAAUAUUAAAGAAUCCGAUGUUUCAUUUAAACUGGUUUGGGAAAACCAAAUAUAUUAUAUAUUUUGCUUUGUUCAAAAUAAGGUUUUCUAAUAAAUUAUGUUUUUAUCAGAUAUGACAGAAUCUUUUUUAAAAUCUCUUCAAUAUGCUUUUAUUGCUUUUGAGAGGUUUUGUUACUUUGAGUAAAAUUAAGUGUUCAUAACAGACGGGUAGUCAUGAUUGAGUUCAUUGUGUUUGAAUACUACAGCAUGGAAUAACAAAUAUGAAUAAGCUAAUUAUUUUUUUUUUUCAUAAUUUUUUUUGAUAUUCUUAUUAGCUUAGUUACGAUUAAUAGGAGUAGCUUUGGGGGCAUUCGUAUUCAGAUGUCAGAGGUGAAAUUCUAAGAUUUUCUGGAGACGGACUACUGCGAAAGCAUUUGCCUAAUCUAUUUCCAUUAAUCAAGAACGAAAGUUAAGGGAGUGAAGACGAUCAGAUACCGUCGUAAUCUUAACCAUAAACUAUACCGACUAGGUGUUGGAUGAAAGUGUUAAAAAUAAAAGUCAUCUUUCGAGGUGACUUUUAGAUUGCUUCCUUCAGUACCUUAUGAGAAAUCAAAGUCUUUGGGUUCUGGGGCGAGUAUUCGCGCAAGCGAGAAAGUUAAAAGAAUUGACGGAAGGGCACCACCAGGCGUGGAGCUUGCGGCUUAAUUUGACUCAACACGGGGAAACUCACUAGUUUAAGACAAGAGUAGGAUUGACAGAUUAAUAGCUCUUUCUUGAUUUCUUGGAUGGUGAUGCAUGGCCGUUUUUAGUUCGUGAAUAUGAUUUGUCUGGUUAAUUCCGAUAACGAACGAGAUCUUAACCUGCUAAUUAGCGGCGAGUACACUAUAUUCUUAUUUGAAAUUGAACAUAGGUAACUAUACAUUUAUUCAGUAAUCAAAUUAGGAUAUUUUUAUUAAAAUAUCCUUUUCCCUGUUCUACUAAUAAUUUGUUUUUUACUCUAUUUCUCUCUUCUUUUAAGAAUGUACUUGCUUGAUUGAAAAGCUUCUUAGAGGAACAUUGUGUGUCUAACACAAGGAAGUUUAAGGCAACAACAGG
rnacentral:rRNA from 1 species